rnacentral:miRNA from 1 species
AUUGCUUACACAAUUAAAUUCCAUGGAGCUUUCUCUCAAAUACUGUAUAUAGAAAGCUUUCUCUCAAAUAACUAGAAAGCUCCAUGGAAUUUAAUUGUGUAAGCAA